AGUGAACGCUGGCGGUAGGCCUAACACAUGCAAGUCGAACGGCAGCACAGUAAGAGCUUGCUCUUACGGGUGGCGAGUGGCGGACGGGUGAGGAAUACAUCGGAAUCUACUUUUUCGUGGGGGAUAACGUAGGGAAACUUACGCUAAUACCGCAUACGACCUACGGGUGAAAGCAGGGGAUCUUCGGACCUUGCGCGAUUGAAUGAGCCGAUGUCGGAUUAGCUAGUUGGCGGGGUAAAGGCCCACCAAGGCGACGAUCCGUAGCUGGUCUGAGAGGAUGAUCAGCCACACUGGAACUGAGACACGGUCCAGACUCCUACGGGAGGCAGCAGUGGGGAAUAUUGGACAAUGGGCGCAAGCCUGAUCCAGCCAUACCGCGUGGGUGAAGAAGGCCUUCGGGUUGUAACGCCCUUUUGUUGGGAAAGAAAAGCAGCAGGUUAAUACCCCGCUGUUCUGACGGUACCCAAAGAAUAAGCACCGGCUAACUUCGUG
rnacentral:rRNA from 1 species